CGUCACCAGCGGCGCGCGAGCCUUCUACUCCUCGCUCGGCUUCGCCCCGGCCGAGCAGGCCCCGGCCGGCCCCGAGGGCGGGUCGCGGCAGGUAUACCGCAAGGUGCUCGCCGGAGG
rnacentral:rRNA from 1 species